rnacentral:rRNA from 1 species
ACGUUCGGUCAAAUCACCCUGCAAGGCGCCCGGUUUCGUCAGAUCUCGUGAAGCUAAGCAGCGUUGAGCCGGGACAGUGUUCUGAUGGGUGACCGCCGUUUACGACAGGUUGCUAUAGGCU